ACUCUUCAAGCUGCUCCCCAAAUUAUGGACAACUUUUCUUCGGCAUGGCCAAAGCUAAAUGUAAAUUAAUGAAUUGUUUAAAGUGCUUAAAAUAUUUACGCUCAAAGCAAGUGGAUGAGCACUGCCACGCCUCCCACCUCCCGCCCCCCUUCGCGGACUAGCUUCAAUCCAGAAUGCUGUGAGCCUGGGCCGCUGACCAAUGAAUAUGCAAACGAUCCGCCACCCACGGACACUCCUCCCACCAAGUUCGUUAUAACGCAGCAUAAGGUCAAGGAGAAAAGGCAACGGAGAAGAGGUGGGCGGAGAAAGUACACUGGUCUACACAGCUCGGAGGUCUAGAUAUUCUAAGCACUACACUUGUUAUUUGUUUU
ensembl:ncRNA lncRNA:CR45454 long non-coding RNA:CR45454